rnacentral:rRNA from 1 species
CCUACGGGGCGCAGCAGUGGGGAAUUUUGCGCAAUGGGGGAAACCCUGACGCAGCAACGCCGCGUGCGGGACGAAGGCCCUCGGGUCGUAAACCGCUUUCAGCAGGGAAGACCACGACGGUACCUGCAGAAGAAGCUCCGGCAAACUACGUGCCAGCAGCCGCGGUAAUACGUAGGGGGCGAGCGUUAUCCGGAUUCAUUGGGCGUAAGGCGCGCGUGGGCGGCCGCCUAAGCGGAACCUCUAACCCCGGGGCUCAACCUGGGGCCGGGUUCCGGACUGGGCGGCUCGAGUGCGGUAGAGGAGAGCGGAAUUCCAGGUGUAGCGGUGGAAUGCGCAGAGAUCGGGAAGAACACCGAUGGCGAAGGCAGCCCUCUGGGCCGUGACUGACGCUGAGGUGCGAAAGCUGGGAGAGCGAACAGGAUUAGAUACCCGAGUAGUC